rnacentral:rRNA from 1 species
UACGUAGGCAGCGAGCGUUGUUCGGAAUUACUGGGCGUAAAGAGUGUGUAGGCGGUGCUCCCAGUCUGUUGUGAAAUCUCCCGGCUUAACUGGGAGGGUGCAGCGGAAACUAGAGUGCUAGAGGGUGGGAGAGGUAAGCGGAAUUCCUGGUGUAGCGGUGAAAUGCGUAGAUAUCGUAAGGAAGACCAGUGGCGAAGGCGGGUCUCUGGACAGUUCCUGACGCUGAGGCACGAAGGUCAGGGGAGCAAACGGG